rnacentral:tRNA from 1 species
GUUUUUAUAGUUGCAUACAACAUUGGUUUUUCAGGCCAAGAGUUUUGGUUAGAGCCCAGAUAAAAAUA